AACGAACGCUGGCGGCAGGCCUAACACAUGCAAGUCGAACGCACCGCAAGGUGAGUGGCGCACGGGUGAGUAACACGUGGGAAUGUACCCUUUGGUUCGGAAUAACGUUUGGAAACGAACGCUAAUACCGGAUGAGCCCUGUGGGGGAAAGAUUUAUCGCCAAAGGAGCAGCCCGCGUCUGAUUAGCUAGUUGGUGGGGUAAAGGCCUACCAAGGCGACGAUCAGUAGCUGGUCUGAGAGGAUGAUCAGCCACACUGGGACUGAGACACGGCCCAGACUCCUACGGGAGGCAGCAGUGGGGAAUAUUGGACAAUGGGCGGAAGCCUGAUCCAGCCAUGCCGCGUGAGUGAUGAAGGCCUUCGGUUGUAAAGCUCUUUCGCACGCGACGAUGAUGACGGUAGCGUGAGAAGAAGCCCCGGCUAACCUUCGUGCCAGCAGCCGCGGU
rnacentral:rRNA from 1 species